rnacentral:misc_RNA from 1 species
UACGAAGGGUGCAAGCGUUGCUCGGAAUUAUUGGGCGUAAAGGGUUGGUAGGUGGUCUUGUUUGUCUGAGGUGAAAUCCCACGGCUUAACCGUGGAAGUGCCCCAGAAACGGCAAGACUAGAGUCCUAGAGGGGUUUGUGGAAUUCCCGGUGUAGCGGUGAAAUGCGUAGAGAUCGGGAGGAACACCAGCGGCGAAGGCGGCAAACUGGAUAGGCACUGACACUCAACAACGAAAGCGUGGGGAGCAAACAGG